rnacentral:rRNA from 1 species
GACAGAGGCCUCAAGCGUUAGGCGGAAUCACUGGGCUUAAAGCGUGUGUAGGCGGAUCGUUAAGUGUCUUGUGAAAUCCCACGGCUCACCCGUGGAACUGCUGGGCAUACUGGCGAUCUUGGGCCAACUAGGGGCAACUGGAACAAGCGGUGGAGCGGUGAAAUGCGUAGAUAUCAUUUGGAACGCCAAUGGUGAAAACAGGUAGCUGGGGCUGUGCUGACACUGAGACACGAAAGCCAGGGGAGCAAACGGG